UGCUACACUCAAAAUAAUCCACACGUUGAUGCUACCUAAAAAAUCACGUAACCCCGAUUUUCCCCUCGCUAGGCUCGUUUUACGUGACACACGUAAAAAUAAUGUGAAAGUGUACUGGCAAAAAAAUGUUUUCACGUUGAUGUUACGUGAAAAACCUUAUAGUAUUUUUCCACUAGGUUUUUUCAUGUAGCCUUUAUGUGUUUUGAAAUGUAACUUCAACGAGACUCGAGUGCGCCAUUCGGCCGAGAUUUCUACGUGAUUAUUUUGUAUGAAAAUUGACGGCGUACAGCAAAGACCUGCUGCCGGACUUGCGCUCGCAACAUUUUUCAAAGAGUGCAGCAGACGAAGCUUCAUCUUCUUUCCUGGUGGCCUUUGUAAUUCUGGUCGAUGCGAUCAUUAGCGGUGACCUCAAGAAUCCCUCGAAGGCAAUUCCAGGCGCAAUCCCGGUCAUCAUCCUGGCGUCGAUUUCAUCCGACGGAAUGGCAAGCAAGGCCAGUGCUAACGUGGUGCUUGACGCCACCGGAAAUGUUUCUGAAAUGGCCAUGGAGCUUUGCCGAGUGUGCCCGGAAAAGUGCAAGUACGCCAGGUGCUUUGCGGCCACCCUCUCGUCUAGCAAGUCAUAACUUCGAAACGGGUUCCCCCGCGGCCGGGAAACGGGAAAUUGUGACCGAACUUCUUCGUGGUCGGCUACAAGCGAGACUGGGAAGAGGACGAACCGACAACGACGGGACCACUUGUAGGCCAGAAUUAACACCAGAGCGAAAUUGACUAGCCAGACCAGCUAUCUUUUAAGCCACUGACCACGCCGGAAUGAUCACCCGUGACCAACUUCGUAUCGUCAAGCGGAAACCAAAUCGAAUCGUGAAAUUGUUUUUUUUAUGAAUGCAAUUAAAGAAUUAUGCAAAUAAACAUUGAGAUGAUUUG